rnacentral:rRNA from 1 species
CAAAGGUUUGGUCCUGGCCUUCCUAUUAGUUAUUAACAGAAUUACACAUGCAAGCCUCCACAUCCCGGUGAAGAUGCCCUCUAAAUCCAUAAACGAUUAAAAGGAGCGGGCAUCAGGCACACUAAAUAAGUAGCCCAUAACGCCUUGCUCAACCACACCCCCACGGGAUACAGCAGUGAUAAAAAUUAAGCCAUGAACGAAAGUUUGACUAAGCCAUGUUAAUAUUAAGAGUUGGUAAAUUUCGUGCCAGCCACCGCGGUCAUACGAUUAACCCAAAUUAAUAGGCUCACGGCGUAAAACGUGCUAAGGAUUACAAAACACUAAAGUUAAAAUUUAACCAGGCCGUAAAAAGCUACUGUUAACAUAAAAUAUACCACGAAAGUGACUUUAUCAUCUCCAACAACACGAUAGCUGGGACCCAAACUGGGAUUAGAUACCCCACUAUGCCCAGCCCUAAACACAAACAAUUUACACAACAAAAU